rnacentral:rRNA from 1 species
AGAGACAGCAGUAGCCGCGGUAAUACAGAGGGUGCGAGCGUUAAUCGGAUUUACUGGGCGUAAAGCGUGCGUAGGCGGCUUUUUAAGUCGGAUGUGAAAUCCCUGAGCUUAACUUAGGAAUUGCAUUCGAUACUGGGAAGCUAGAGUAUGGGAGAGGAUGGUAGAAUUCCAGGUGUAGCGGUGAAAUGCGUAGAGAUCUGGAGGAAUACCGAUGGCGAAGGCAGCCAUCUGGCCUAAUACUGACGCUGAGGUACGAAAGCAUGGGGAGCAAACAGGAUUAGAUACCCGGGUAGUCCCUGUCUCUUAUAC